AAAGGGAACACCAUCGUUUGGAAAGCAUUGCAGUAAGACACACAUGUUGUGCUGCUGCUGUGCCCCUAAGGCCUAUGCCCUUCAGUAGUCAACCUGUGGCACAUGUGCCACCUUGCCAAGCACAAGAGGAAGUAACACUGGAGUACCAAUGCUGAAAGAUGAAAUACCACCAGGACUAGUCAAAUGAGGCACCUAAAAAGUGUAUACCACAGAUUCAGGCAGGGAUUCCGUGAAGGAACAACACCUAGACCUAAGACGGCAGCUGUUGCAGCAUCCAGUUCAUCUU
rnacentral:lncRNA from 1 species